UACAGAGGGGGCAAGCGUUGUUCGGAAUUACUGGGCGUAAAGCGCGCGUAGGCGGCUUUGUAAGUUAGAGGUGAAAGCCCGGAGCUCAACUCCGGAAUUGCCUUUAAGACUGCAUCGCUAGAAUCAUGGAGAGGUUAGUGGAAUUCCGAGUGUAGAGGUGAAAUUCGUAGAUAUUCGGAAGAACACCAGUGGCGAAGGCGACUAACUGGACAUGUAUUGACGCUGAGGUGCGAAAGCGUGGGGAGCAAACAGG
rnacentral:rRNA from 1 species